rnacentral:rRNA from 1 species
UACAGAGGAGCCAAGCGUUGGCCGGAUUGACUGGGCGUAAAGCGCACGCAGGCGGUGGGGCGCGUGGGGUGUGAAAUCUGGCCGCUUAACGGCCAGGCGCCAUCCCAUACGGCACGACUGGAGGGCUGCAGAGGUCGAUGGAAUUGCCGGUGUAGUGGUGAAAUGCGUAGAGAUCGGCAGGACCACCCAGGGGGAAACCAGUCGACUGGGCAGCACCUGACGCUGAGGUGCGAGAGCGUGGGGAGCGAACCGG